GUUCCAGACUCCUACGGGAGGCAGCAGUGGGGAAUAUUGCACAAUGGGGGAAACCCUGAUGCAGCGACGCCGCGUGAGUGAAGAAGCGCCUCGGCGCGUAAAUCUCUGUCAGCAGGAACGACGAUGACGGUACCUGAAGAAGAAGCCCCGGCUAACUACGUGCCAGCAGCCGCGGUAAUACGUAGGGGGCGAGCGUUAUCCGGAUUUACUGGGUGUAAAGGGAGCGUAGACGGCGUCGCAAGUCUGAAGUGAAAGCCCGUGGCUCAACCGCGGAACCGCUUUGGAAACUGCGAGGCUGGAGUGCUGGAGAGGUAAGCGGAAUUCCUGGUGUAGCGGUGAAAUGCGUAGAUAUUAGGAGGAACACCAGUGGCGAAGGCGGCUUACUGGACUGUAACUGACGUUGAGGCUCGAAAGCGUGGGGAGCAAACAGGAUUAGAUACCCUCGUAGUA
rnacentral:rRNA from 1 species